AUACAGAGGGUGCGAGCGUUAAUCGGAAUUACUGGGCGUAAAGCGUGCGCAGGCGGUUUUGUAAGACAGGCGUGAAAUCCCCGGGCUCAACCUGGGAAUGGCGCUUGUGACUGCAAGGCUAGAGUGCGUCAGAGGGGGGUAGAAUUCCACGUGUAGCAGUGAAAUGCGUAGAGAUGUGGAGGAAUACCGAUGGCGAAGGCAGCCCCCUGGGACGAGACUGACGCUCAUGCACGAAAGCGUGGGGAGCAAACAGGAUUAGAAACCCCGGUAGUCC
rnacentral:rRNA from 1 species